AAAGUUACAAAAAAUCACGCUGGCGUGAAAUUUUUUGCAACCUUGAAGACCGAACAAACAUGAGGAAGUAGCAUGAUAAUGCGGAUUCCGAAUGUUUGUAGGAUUGUGGGAGCGUUAGCGAAGCAAUCCGU
rnacentral:sRNA from 1 species